rnacentral:rRNA from 1 species
GAUGAACGCUGGCGGCGUGCUUAACACAUGCAAGUCGAGCGAAGCAGUUAAGUUGAUUUCUUCGGAUUGAUUCUUAACUGACUGAGCGGCGGACGGGUGAGUAACGCGUGGGUGACCUGCCCCAUACCGGGGGAUAACAGCUGGAAACGGCUGCUAAUACCGCAUAAGCGCACAGAGCUGCAUGGCUCGGUGUGAAAAACUCCGGUGGUAUGGGAUGGGCCCGCGUCUGAUUAGGCAGUUGGCGGGGUAACGGCCCACCAAACCGACGAUCAGUAGCCGGCCUGAGAGGGCGACCGGCCACAUUGGGACUGAGACACGGCCCAAACUCCUACGGGAGGCAGCAGUGGGGAAUAUUGCACAAUGGGGGAAACCCUGAUGCAGCGACGCCGCGUGAGCGAAGAAGUAUUUCGGUAUGUAAAGCUCUAUCAGCAGGGA